ACGGCGAGUGAGCGGCAACAGCUCAAUUUGAAAUCUGGCUCUCGGGCCCGAGUUGUAACUUGUAGAGGAUACUUUUGAUGCGGUGCCUUCCGAGUUCCCUGGAACGGGACGCCAUAGAGGGUGAGAGCCCCGUCUGGUUGGAUGCCAAAUCUCUGUAAAGUUCCUUCGACGAGUCGAGUAGUUUGGGAAUGCUGCUCUAAAUGGGAGGUAUAUGUCUUCUAAAGCUAAAUACCGGCCAGAGACCGAUAGCGCACAAGUAGAGUGAUCGAAAGAUGAAAAGCACUUUGAAAAGAGAGUUAAAAAGUACGUGAAAUUGUUGAAAGGGAAGCGUUUAUGACCAGACUUGGGCUUGGUUAAUCAUCUGGGGUUCUCCCCAGUGCACUUUUCCAGUCCAGGCCAGCAUCAGUUUUCCCCGGGGGAUAAAGACUUCGGGAAUGUGGCUCUCUUCGGGGAGUGUUAUAGCCCGUUGUGUAAUACCCUGGGGGGGACUGAGGUUCGCGCAUCUGCAAGGAUGCUGGCGUAAUGGUCAUCAACGACCC
rnacentral:rRNA from 1 species